UAGGAUUCCCUUAGUAGCUGCGAGCGAACAGGGAAGAGCCCAGCACCGAAUCCCGCGGCCGAUACCGGACGCUGGGAAAUGUGGUGUUAGGGAGGAUUCAUUAUCCCGAGGUCGUGCGACGCGUCCAAGUCCUUCUUGAACGGGGCCACUGCCCAUAGAGGGUGCCAGGCCCGUAGUGACCGUUGCCGAUCGCGGGAGAAUACCUCCUCAGAGUCGGGUUGCUUGAGAGUGCAGCCCUAAGUGGGUGGUAAACUCCAUCUAAGGCUAAAUAUGACCACGAGACCGAUAGCGAACAAGUACCGUGAGGGAAAGUUGAAAAGCACUCUGAAGAGAGAGUUCAAGAGUACGUGAAACCGUUUAGGGGUAAACCUGAGAAGCCCGAAAGGUCGAAUGGGGAAAUUCAUUCGCGUUUCGGCGGCUGCUGGAGUCGGUCGCAGUGACGUGGGGCGUUCGCGCCUUCGCGCGCCUUCUGACUUCCGAUCUGUCGUCGAACGCGUGCAUUUUUCCCCUAGUAGGACGUCGCGAUCCGUUGGGCGUCGGUCUAAGGUCCGCGGUGGAGCCCGUUUGGACGAUUCGUCGUUCCAAUCGGACCCGCGGAUUUGCCCGGCCGGCUCGCUCGACGGUAUACAGAUGGCGCAGGACUGCGACUCUAGUUCGCGUUCGGCCCGCGGCAAGCGCGCUCGUUUCUGUUGGCGAUCGGACCUAGUGCCGGUCCCGACUGCGAGUGACUGUUGGCCGCGGUGUUCUCGAACAGUUCCUGUCGAAACGCCGAUCUGCGACGCUUUUGCUUUGGGCACUUUCAGGACCCGUCUUGAAACACGGACCAAGGAGUCUAGCAUGUGCGCGAGUCAUUGGGACACGAAUAAACCCAAAGGCACAAUGAAAGUGAAGGUCCGCCUUGCGCGGACCGAGGGAAGAUGGGCGGUUCACUCCGGUGGUCGCCCCGCAUUCCCGGGGCGUCUCGUUCUCAUUGCGAGAAGAGGCGCACCAACAGCGUACACGCUGGGACCCGAAAGAUGGUGAACUAUGCCUGGUCAGGACGAAGUCAGGGGAAACCCUGAUGGAGGUCCGUAGCGAUUCUGACGUGCAAAUCGAUCGUCGGAACUGGGUAUAGGGGCGAAAGACUAAUCGAACCAUCUAGUAGCUGGUUCCCUCCGAAGUUUCCCUCAGGAUAGCUGGCGCUCGUAGCACACGAGUUUCAUCCGGUAAAGCGAAUGAUUAGAGGCAUUGGGGUCGAAACGACCUCAACCUAUUCUCAAACUUUAAAUGGGUGAGAUCUCCGGCUUGCUUGAACUCAUGAAGCCGCGAGACACGAAUCAGAG
rnacentral:rRNA from 1 species